rnacentral:rRNA from 1 species
UACGUAGGUGGCAAGCGUUGUCCGGAAUUAUUGGGCGUAAAGCGCGCGCAGGCGGUCCUUUAAGUCUGAUGUGAAAGCCCACGGCUCAACCGUGGAGGGUCAUUGGAAACUGGGGGACUUGAGUGCAGAAGAGGAAAGCGGAAUUCCCGGUGUAGUGGUGGAAUGCGUAGAUAUCGGGAGGAACACCAGUGGCGAAGGCGGUUGCCUGGGGCUUUGCUGACGCUGAUGCGCGAAAGCGUGGGGAGCGAUCCGG